UUAAGCGACUAAGCGUACACGGUGGAUGCCCUGGCAGUCAGAGGCGAUGAAGGACGUGCUAAUCUGCGAUAAGCGUCGGUAAGGUGAUAUGAACCGUUAUAACCGGCGAUUUCCGAAUGGGGAAACCCAGUGUGUUUCGACACACUAUCAUUAACUGAAUCCAUAGGUUAAUGAGGCGAACCGGGGGAACUGAAACAUCUAAGUACCCCGAGGAAAAGAAAUCAACCGAGAUUCCCCCAGUAGCGGCGAGCGAACGGGGAGCAGCCCAGAGCCUGAAUCAGUGUGUGUGUUAGUGGAAGCGUCUGGAAAGGCGCGCGAUACAGGGUGACAGCCCCGUACACAAAAAUGCACAUGCUGUGAGCUCGAUGAGUAGGGCGGGACACGUGGUAUCCUGUCUGAAUAUGGGGGGACCAUCCUCCAAGGCUAAAUACUCCUGACUGACCGAUAGUGAACCAGUACCGUGAGGGAAAGGCGAAAAGAACCCCGGCGAGGGGAGUGAAAAAGAACCUGAAACCGUGUACGUACAAGCAGUGGGAGCACGCUUAGGCGUGUGACUGCGUACCUUUUGUAUAAUGGGUCAGCGACUUAUAUUCUGUAGCAAGGUUAACCGAAUAGGGGAGCCGAAGGGAAACCGAGUCUUAACUGGGCGUUAAGUUGCAGGGUAUAGACCCGAAACCCGGUGAUCUAGCCAUGGGCAGGUUGAAGGUUGGGUAACACUAACUGGAGGACCGAACCGACUAAUGUUGAAAAAUUAGCGGAUGACUUGUGGCUGGGGGUGAAAGGCCAAUCAAACCGGGAGAUAGCUGGUUCUCCCCGAAAGCUAUUUAGGUAGCGCCUCGUGAAUUCAUCUCCGGGGGUAGAGCACUGUUUCGGCAAGGGGGUCAUCCCGACUUACCAACCCGAUGCAAACUGCGAAUACCGGAGAAUGUUAUCACGGGAGACACACGGCGGGUGCUAACGUCCGUCGUGAAGAGGGAAACAACCCAGACCGCCAGCUAAGGUCCCAAAGUCAUGGUUAAGUGGGAAACGAUGUGGGAAGGCCCAGACAGCCAGGAUGUUGGCUUAGAAGCAGCCAUCAUUUAAAGAAAGCGUAAUAGCUCACUGGUCGAGUCGGCCUGCGCGGAAGAUGUAACGGGGCUAAACCAUGCACCGAAGCUGCGGCAGCGACGCUUAUGCGUUGUUGGGUAGGGGAGCGUUCUGUAAGCCUGCGAAGGUGUGCUGUGAGGCAUGCUGGAGGUAUCAGAAGUGCGAAUGCUGACAUAAGUAACGAUAAAGCGGGUGAAAAGCCCGCUCGCCGGAAGACCAAGGGUUCCUGUCCAACGUUAAUCGGGGCAGGGUGAGUCGACCCCUAAGGCGAGGCCGAAAGGCGUAGUCGAUGGGAAACAGGUUAAUAUUCCUGUACUUGGUGUUACUGCGAAGGGGGGACGGAGAAGGCUAUGUUGGCCGGGCGACGGUUGUCCCGGUUUAAGCGUGUAGGCUGGUUUUCCAGGCAAAUCCGGAAAAUCAAGGCUGAGGCGUGAUGACGAGGCACUACGGUGCUGAAGCAACAAAUGCCCUGCUUCCAGGAAAAGCCUCUAAGCAUCAGGUAACAUCAAAUCGUACCCCAAACCGACACAGGUGGUCAGGUAGAGAAUACCAAGGCGCUUGAGAGAACUCGGGUGAAGGAACUAGGCAAAAUGGUGCCGUAACUUCGGGAGAAGGCACGCUGAUAUGUAGGUGAAGUCCCUCGCGGAUGGAGCUGAAAUCAGUCGAAGAUACCAGCUGGCUGCAACUGUUUAUUAAAAACACAGCACUGUGCAAACACGAAAGUGGACGUAUACGGUGUGACGCCUGCCCGGUGCCGGAAGGUUAAUUGAUGGGGUCAGCGCAAGCGAAGCUCUUGAUCGAAGCCCCGGUAAACGGCGGCCGUAACUAUAACGGUCCUAAGGUAGCGAAAUUCCUUGUCGGGUAAGUUCCGACCUGCACGAAUGGCGUAAUGAUGGCCAGGCUGUCUCCACCCGAGACUCAGUGAAAUUGAACUCGCUGUGAAGAUGCAGUGUACCCGCGGCAAGACGGAAAGACCCCGUGAACCUUUACUAUAGCUUGACACUGAACAUUGAGCCUUGAUGUGUAGGAUAGGUGGGAGGCUUUGAAGUGUGGACGCCAGUCUGCAUGGAGCCGACCUUGAAAUACCACCCUUUAAUGUUUGAUGUUCUAACGUUGACCCGUAAUCCGGGUUGCGGACAGUGUCUGGUGGGUAGUUUGACUGGGGCGGUCUCCUCCUAAAGAGUAACGGAGGAGCACGAAGGUUGGCUAAUCCUGGUCGGACAUCAGGAGGUUAGUGCAAUGGCAUAAGCCAGCUUGACUGCGAGCGUGACGGCGCGAGCAGGUGCGAAAGCAGGUCAUAGUGAUCCGGUGGUUCUGAAUGGAAGGGCCAUCGCUCAACGGAUAAAAGGUACUCCGGGGAUAACAGGCUGAUACCGCCCAAGAGUUCAUAUCGACGGCGGUGUUUGGCACCUCGAUGUCGGCUCAUCACAUCCUGGGGCUGAAGUAGGUCCCAAGGGUAUGGCUGUUCGCCAUUUAAAGUGGUACGCGAGCUGGGUUUAGAACGUCGUGAGACAGUUCGGUCCCUAUCUGCCGUGGGCGCUGGAGAACUGAGGGGGGCUGCUCCUAGUACGAGAGGACCGGAGUGGACGCAUCACUGGUGUUCGGGUUGUCAUGCCAAUGGCACUGCCCGGUAGCUAAAUGCGGAAGAGAUAAGUGCUGAAAGCAUCUAAGCACGAAACUUGCCCCGAGAUGAGUUCUCCCUGACCCUUUAAGGGUCCUGAAGGAACGUUGAAGACGACGACGUUGAUAGGCCGGGUGUGUAAGCGCAGCGAUGCGUUGAGCUAACCGGUACUAAUGAACCGUGAGGCUUAACCU
rnacentral:rRNA from 1 species